UACGAAGGGGGCUAGCGUUGUUCGGAAUCACUGGGCGUAAAGCGCACGUAGGCGGCUUGUUAAGUCAGAGGUGAAAGCCUGGAGCUCAACUCCAGAACUGCCUUUGAUACUGGCAAGCUCGAGGAUGGCAGAGGUUGGUGGAACUCCGAGUGUAGAGGUGAAAUUCGUAGAGAUUCGGAAGAACACCAGUGGCGAAGGCGGCCAACUGGGCCAUUACUGACGCUGAGGUGCGAAAGAGUGGGGAGCAAACAGG
rnacentral:rRNA from 1 species